rnacentral:lncRNA from 1 species
AAAGCAUGAAGUGAAGAGGAAAGGAAAGAACACAAACCCUUGGUGGGAAAAUUGAAGAAAAAGUGUGGGAUUCCAAGGAAUUAAGCAAGGUAAAGUGAAAAUUCUUUAUUUUUACUUGAGAUUUACAAUACCCAUACUUUAUUUUCUUAUUUCUAUGGUUGAGAAACAUGACUUCAUAGUGAAUAAGUGGUAGGCAAAAUGGGUAUGGAGAGAGAAUGAUCUUGGAUUGGUUUGAUUUUUAGGUAUGUUAGUGUUUUUAGGUGGUUAAUGAUGUGUAGCAUGAAAACAAGUGAAGAAAACCACUAAAGGUUUGGUGCCCAUCAAUAGCUGAAUUCUCUAAGUGAAUAAUGAGGAAGAAUGGGAUGUUAUUCUAGGUGAUUUGAUUAAGAAAUAAUAGUUUUUAGUGCAGGAAUUAAUGAAUAAUGGUGAGAAAAUUAAGUAGGAAAAAAAUCACGGAGUUAGUGUACCAUUGUUGGCCGAAAGUUCCAAGAAGAAAAAUGAAGAUAAAUUUUGCCUAAUUGUGUGUUAAUUAGUUUGUGCUUAGUGAAUUGAGGGAUUAGAAAAGAAAUGGAGCAAGUUGGAGUGAAAUUGGAUGCAUUGGCCAAUUUAUCGGAUGAAAAAUCCACUUAGGCCAAUACCGAGUCUAGAUGGUUACUCCUGCAUUUUUCAUUUCAUAUCAUAUAUAUAUCGAGCCUGAAAUAGCUUAUGACUGUUAGACAUAAUUUAAUUGGAAUAUGUGUCAUGGAUUAUGGCUAGGUGGUGAGCCAUUGGAUACGGGUAAAGGACUGUACCCGCGGACUGAAAAUAGGAGUAUUUUUUCUCCUAAUACCGGUAAGUGGACUUGCAUUUCAAAAGUUGUUUUGGGGAUAUAAUGUAUUUGUCAAACAAUUGAAUGGAUUAUCCAGCUUUUCAUAAAAACAAGUGCCUUGGGAACAAGCUUUUAAUAGAUUGUCUUCAUUUUGUGACAUGUGACUAUUAUUGAUUCUUGCACUACCACAUUGUGUUGAUAUAUAUAUAUAUAUAUGAAUACAUUGUUAUGUAAUGAUAUUGACUCGACUAUGUGCGAGUAAAGAGUGCGUAUAAGCCGAUGAUGACCCGAUUAUGUGCGAGUAGGGAGUGCACAUAACCCGGUGAUGACCCGGUUAUGUGCGAGUAGGGAGUGCGCAUAACCCGGUGAUGACCUAGCCAUGUGCGAGUAGGGAGUGUGCAUGAGUUGGGAAUGAUGAUGAUGGGAUGGUGUGUAUGGUGAUGAUAAUGGGAUGGUGUGCAUGAUGAUGAUGAUGAGAUGGUGUGCAUAUGAUGAUUGAUAUAUAUAUAUAUAUAUAUAUACAUAUAUGGUAUAUGGUUGUAAAUGUAAAUAUGUGAGCAUUUGAUUUGUUGAAAUUUGGGAGUUUACAUGUGUUACAUGUUGCUAUUGUUAUUUUAGCGGGAUGGCUUGUUUUAAGGGAAAAAGAGACUUUUUCCUUGAUGUUCUAAUCCUCGCUGCAGCGAGAUUCAUUCUUGUUGCAGCGAGAAACUCUCAGAUUUGAGGGCUUUCACCAGACCUGGUUCUCGCUACAGCGAGAAUGAAGUUCGCUGCAACGAGAAACUUUCUGUCCAUUUUGCUAACUUGUGGGUUUUCGCCAUAUUUCCCAUUUCUUUGGUACCAUAGUUGAGCAUGGAUCUUUGUAAAGUGAUUUACUCAUGUGGGGUUUACAUGAGAGGUUUAGAAGAGCCAAAACAAUUACAUUAUUUUGAGAAAAUGAAUGCAUCAUGAUUUCGUUAAACAUUCCUUAUGGUAUGCUUGUUCCCUUUCUUGUUCACUCACUGAGUUUAUGCUCACUGCUUUCAACUUCAUGUUUUCAGAUUACAAGGCAGCUGGUAACUAGGUCAAGGUACCUUUGUAGACUCGACUAUUGGUAGGUGUCUCGGCAUUUAGUAGUUGUACAUUCGUCAAGUUUCUCCGCUAGACAUCGAGUCUUCUUUUGUUAUGUAUAGACGAACCUAAUGUGAAUUAUUAAGAUACAUGUUGUAGACAGUGCAUAUACACUUGUUUGGUAUGCCAGUAUGAGGGGCAAUGUUCAAUAUUAUUUCGAUUCUAAGUUAUGAUAUAUGACUUAGCAGUUUAUGAUGGAAUGAUGAAUAUGUCAGAUUAAUAGGCUUGCUUAGGCUUAGUGGACUACGUCCAUUGGGUCCAUGCGCUAGUCAUGGCCCGAAAUUUGGGUCGUGACAAAAAGUGAGCUGAUUUUGGUGAUUUUAGAAGGUUAUUGGCUGAUAUUUAGUGGUUAGAAAUGUUCGAGAGAAAAUGGGACAAUUUAGAGCUAAAAUGGAGCUCGUUAGCAAUUUAUCAGGUAAAGUGUAAAAGAAUAGGUUAAUAUCGCGUUUAAGCCGUUUUAGGCUAUUGCAUUUCAUACCAUGCAUUAGUAUAGGAUUUAAGUCAAUUAUAUAGUGAUUUAGCAUCAAUGUGGUGAAUUGUGUAAUUUUUGCAAUAUGUUUAAGAUGAGAGCUUUCGGUAAAGGUAAGGAAGACGUACCCGAUGAACAGUGAUCGGGGCACCUAGAAAGCAUUUAAUUUGUACAAACUGUGAGUAAACCUAUUAUUAUUGUAAAUUAUCUAGAGUUUAUUUUUAAAUGCUCAUUAUGUAUUUUAUGAAACGAAAAUGAGAUUAAAAUGGGAGUUUUGAUGUUUUAGAAAUAAAUGUGCCAAAUAAAUAUAUUGUGUUGAUUAUCUGAAAUAAGAAACUUUUGAUCAUGAAAUUGAGUAAUUAGAGGCUACCAAUUGUCUUGAAAAAUAUAUUUUCCUAUGAAUGGCUUAUGAUAUAUGAAUAUAUGUGGCUAUAUUUUAUAAGUGCAUUGGGAAUUUAUGUAAGUUGUGCUUUACUAUGCAGGCUGGGUAAAUAAAUAAAAGCCACGUUAUACUGUUCAAAUUUAAUUAAAAUUGGAGGGUUUAGUCACUGCAAUGACGGGUUUUCGUGGACUACCUAUAAGAGGGGUAUGGUAAACUCGGUUGCAUAGUUACUCCGGUUGUAGAGGCGAGGAGGGUAACUCCUGGGGUAGUGUUAGAGCUCACUUCACGUCGAACCCCCAUGUGAAUGUGUAACUCAGCCAACGCCAAGGAAUGGCUUGUUUUCAAAACUAACAUGUGUUUAACAUGUAAAUAUCUUAACAACCUUGGCAGACUCGGUUAGAUGCCUCGGCCAAGGUAUCCCCGAGGACUAGUUUUUUGCUUGAGCCCUGUUUCUAAUAAAAGUCAUAAGCCUUAACAACUGUUUUGGUAAAUUACAAAUAUUUUAUGGUUUCAGAAAUAAAUUGCAAA